CAUUUCUUUGGUUUUGCGACAAUCAUUAUUGCCGCUAAUCAAAGACAAACCAAAAACAAUAAAGUUAGAAAUAGAGUGGUUGGGUAAGUUAAAAUGGCGGGAGACAGGCUUAUCAAGAUCAUUCUUACGAAUACUACGAAGAUGUUCACAGAUACGAUCGCCAAGACGACGGCCAGUCUCACCGACAUACAACAAAUUACAAAGCGAACAUUUAAUGCAAUAGACAACAUUAGAGGUGGUACAAUCAAAGUGAUCAGUGAUUUUGAGUGACGAGUUAGGACCAACAAUGGAAGUGUGCGAGACAAGAAGAAAACCUUUUAUAAUCAAGUCACUGUCUUUUAAUUACAGACUUCUUCAAUACCGAUGCAAGUGCAUGCCCAACAAAUUGUACGAGUKUGUCUUACGAUGUGCAAACCUCAUCAGUCGUGUAUCUCAAUAAACCAGCAUUGGACGACUUCUCUAAAACAGAAAAUUAUUUCUGUGGGUUGAAUUAUGACUUUAAGAAAGAAUUCAACAAGUCCAAAGUUGACGACGAMUCAUACUCAGAGUGGUUUAGAGGAAGAUAUGCUCGUGUGAAAGUGUUCUUUUCAUCAAAAGACGUUGAAAUAAUACAAGAAAUUCYCGCCUUUGAUGCCUUGGAUUUGGCUGGAAACCUUGGUGGUAACAUGGGCCUUUACUUGGGAUGUAGUAUCUUGACACUGGUAGAGUUCGUUGAUUUGCUUGUAAUGGUAUUAAUCCAUUUGUYCAAGAAGGAAAAUAGCCUGACGAUUUCGGAUAAAUGAAAGACGACAAAGWGAKAAACCCGAGGGUUUCUAGCACCACUCGAUCACUGACGUACCGUUUUUUUACGUAAAACUUGAAAAUACUUUAUCAGUUGCGCUAAAUACUKAUUCGAUCGAUUUGAACUUACAUGUCACGUGACCCUAUCACUGCUAAAUAAAGAAAGUACGUCAGAACAAGCCUUCACUCCGCCCCCAACGAUGAACGMCUGCACACAAGAUACGUCAGAACACGUAGAAAUGAGAGCACCAGAAUUUGAUGUCAGUCCUCACUCACUAACACUUGUUUCUAAAUUCAGGUCAUUCAGGGUGUGUUGUACUAAGGGUAGUGAAUAUGUGUCUUACCAUCGGAUAGAUAAAUCCUUAUCCAGCGCAAAAACUAAAAUCAAUGCAAAAUCUAAGGAGUGCAUAACUUAUCUACAGUCUCCUUCCCAGGCAACUCUUUUUUCCUCCUUUGGGCUUCCU